rnacentral:rRNA from 1 species
ACAUGCCUACAACAUAGCAUUAAUGCACUAGAUCCCAUUAGAACUCCACAGUUAAGUGUGCUCGGGAUAGAGUAGUACUUGGAUGGGUGACCUCACGAGAAGUCCUAGUGUUUUACAUGCC